GGCAGCGCUGGGGGUUUGCGUUGGAGGCAAUGGAGGAGCCGGGAAGGUAGCAGGUCUUGCACGGGCUGUGCUGCGGUUAGCUCUGGAUGGCAGAUCGCCUGCGAUCAGCAGGGGGUUGCAGUAUAUAUCACUGGAGAGAAUGCAUUGCUGCUGUCUCUAUAUUGCCAGUACUGACGGUGCUUGCUGUGGGUCUGGAUGAAGCGCCCCAUCCAGCACGUUCCCAGCUGCUUACAUGCAGAUUACAACUUCUGCUUGGAAACCAGACUGGACGCUGCCACGUGAAAUCAGUUUUCUCCUAAAGCUGUAUAGGGAACUUGAUAAAUGCAAGGGAACCAGGAGCACCCUGAGCACUGCUUUUGCUUUGCUUCUGAAUGGGUUUGCUACAGUCUCCUACGCUUUCAGGAAGGAGCUGUUUCUGUGACAGGACAGGGCAGGAGAUGGGUUAGCAGGAGGCAGGGGGUGAGGGUGUGUGGUGCAUGAGUAGCGCUGGGGAUGAAAUGGUGGAAGAAGGACGCAAUAGGAAGGGGAAGGGGAAAGGUGGGAAUGUUGGGUCGUAGCUGAGUGUGGGAACUGUGGUAGAUGGGGUGGCUGCUGCUGCUGUAGAAAGAGAGUGGAGUGUUGGCCAUAGAGGCGGGUUUGGUGCAGUACUGCCCACACCACUCUCCUGGCUGUGUCAUCCCUGUAGAACUUGGUUUCCAGGCUGAGGCAGCUCUUUUGUCCCAGUCUCCCAUUCAAGAACUGAAGGAAGAUCUUGGAUCCCUUACCAGUCAUUCCUAGCGCUCAUGUCAAAGGACAUGAAUUAGCAAGCAGUCUAAACUGCUCCUUCCAUCAUACUGCAGAAGAAGACAGGCUGGUCAGGGAUAUCAGCGGCUAUUCAGAGCAGAGAUGAGACAUGGAGGAAGACACAUCUUGAUGAAUUACAGAUCCAGAUGAGAGAACUGAUACUUGACUGUCCUUUACCAUAGCAAAGUCCACAGGCACAUACAUAGGCUGAAUCUGAGCACAUCUACAGGAUGAGCAAUGCCAAUACCUCAGCUUUCCAGAAGCAGUACACGUGGAAAAACAUGUAUCUCCAGGUUGCUUUUAAUGAUGAACUCUAAAAGUGGCAAUGCUAUGGCUUCCAUAGUCUCUUCAGAACUUGUCAUCAAUCUAAGAAAUGAAGAACUCACCUUAAAUGCACGCCCAUCGAGGAAGACUUGCACCGGAGCUCGCUGACAUUGUAGUUUAUGAUAAAAUCAUUUGGGAGGCAGUAUGCAGGCCAUACAGAAACAGAGACCAUGCCACCACAACCACAUUGCUUACCCAGUCUGAUCACACAGAACAAGGAGACCGUGCGCCCAGGGAGUUUGAAUUGCACAGAAUAAAAAUCCAUUAAGUUGCAAUAUAUUUAAACCUGUAAUUACUGCAGAUUAGAAUUCAGCGGAGAACUUUGCAUAAUGCCAAGGGCUGACCUUUUUCUGAGGUGCUCUGGCCUGAUUGUUAGGACCUUGUAACAAAUGCCUAGUGCCAUUUAACGAAGGAAUGACAUAUCUCUGAUAUGCAAAUUUUUACAGCACAGCAAUUAAGCGGUUUAGAAUUUUACGACAGUGUUUGGGCUUUAUACAACAAAAAAAGGGCCAAUAAAGGCCUGUGAUGGAUGGGCUAAUCCCCACUGGAAAUAUACCAUGUAAUCUUGUAGAGACAAUGCAUUAUGGAUAGCAUUGUGAUUAUUGGUCGCUAAUAUCUCCCCCCUCCUCCUCCUGCUCCCGGCCACGACGAAGCUGCAUGGCUGCCACAUUGUCGGGGGCACAGGACUGGGAUACAGAUGGGGAAGUUGGGCCAUUGCAAUCUGCUGCACGCAAGGAAGACAGAGAAAAGGGGGCUUGCAGCGAGGCAGCUUGUCAGCAGGGGAUGAGGCUGGGGGCCAUAUGCCUCUCUUCUUCUCCCUUCUGUCACAGAGCCUGCUGCCGCAUCCUGCUGUCGGGGGACACUUUAAUGAUGAACACACUUUAAACAGUUUUGUUUACCUAGCCACAGCUUUUCCAUGAGGGAGUCUUAAUUAGAUGCCUUGGAUUUCUGUGCUUCCAUCCAUUCAUCUGUCUGUCCACACGGCGGUGAGAGCUGCUGGUGGUGCAGCCACGGUCAGCAGUGCUCAGCCUCGCUGUUCCCCCCACCAGCCACAAAAGGCAGAUCACUUUUACUUCAUGUGCUGCUGCUUACCAGUACCACGUGAAGCCUGCUGCAGCGCUGGCAGAGGUGCUCCUUACUGUGCCGGCAUCUCACAGGCAGAAUUUGCUCAGUGUAAAGUGCAGCGUAGGAGCUGCGAGAAAUUUCGGCUGGAGUAAGAGAGGAUGUGCCUCAGCUAUGUAACAGCAGGACAACUGCUCGGAGCUUCAAAUCCACUUUCAAAAGCAUCUUCUAAAAUUAAAAGAAAAAAACACCUCCAGUUGCUAUUUAAAGUGCCAGAAUAAUUUAAAACUUGGGGUCACUCUCUUGCUAUUUGGUCACUAGGAGUGCAAAAUAAAGCUUGUUUUUUUUUCCUAAUUUUCCCCUUUGAUCUUUUAUACCCUUGGUUACAUCUGCUGCUACGGUACUUUCUGCUUUAGAGAAGGGAGUAGAGGAUGUUGAGAAUGGAUUCUGUUGUUUGACUGAUGUUUUCUAUAGGCGAUGAUAAAUUCCAUUAAUAUAUCCGAAGUUAAUAAACUAGACAAAAAACAAGUCUGAUUUGUCUGCCCAUUCAGUGGAAAACCCCUUAGCAGGGGGGUUCUGGGAAGCAAGAAGAGCACGGGGAUUCCCAGGCAGGGACACUUGGCCUGGGAACCCUCAAGGCAAGAAGGGGAGGGGAAGUUGAUUUGCUAGGGGCUGUAGUCUUCCUCCCACCAAGCGUGAUUGGCCCCUUGGAACUACAGAAAGCAGAACAAUUUCUGUGGAAGAAGCUGUUUCUGUGCUAGCUCCCAUUUCCCCUGUUCUGUCCUUCAGGUCCUUUCCCCAGGGGCACCCAGUCCUCACACAGAGGAGGAAACUCCAGUCACACCUGACAUCACAGCAGUGUGCUCUUCUUUGGGAUCUCAGGGAUUUGCCGUAACUCUUGGUUGCUAAGCUUUCCCAGGGUAUCCUCUGACCUCUGCUUGGCUGUUUUGGUGAUUAAGAUAUUGAGGACAACCGCCAAAAUACGGAGUUGGAUAGACAGAUGUAUAGCUAGUUGGGUAGAUACAGGUAGACAGACAGAUACGGUUAUGAACUACAUCUGGACAUCCUUUGCUCAACUGGGAACAGUCAACAAGAACCACCCUGCUUCAAAUCUUAGACCCCUUCAAAUCUCAAGUAUCUUGAAACCAAGAUACUUCUGAACCCCGAAUGAACCAGGAGGGUUAGUUCCAGUCUUGAGAAAGAAAACGUAGCACUAUGUAGAGAGUUUAUUACAGGAUGUACCAAAAUGAAAAUCCCACAUAGUUGGUGGUUUGAGAAUAAUGGCUUGGCAGAUAUAUAAAUCGAAAAAGCUUGAAACUUCGGGAUUUUUGGAAUUCUAAAAUCGUCCUUCUCCCUAAGGUGAUGUACAUUGCCCAAGAGAGUCCAUUUCUCUCUACAGCACUGUGGAGCUGAUCAAAGGAAAGAAAGCCCUUCCUAGCAGUGAGUCUGUCUGGCUUUGAAGAAGUGACAUAAAAGAAGGGAGAAAACUCUUAUAAUCUUCAUAUUUUAAAGUAUGGCAGGACAUGAAGAAAUGCAGUUCUCACAGGACAGGUGAGAAGCUGUGCUAUGAGAUGAGUGAGUGAAUCACCUGAGUAGUUGUUUCCCAUUCAUUCCUAUGAGGAAGAGUCUACUGUGAUGGGAUAAAAAGAUCACAGGCUGUUCAGUCACAUUGUUGUUGGGCCAGUGUCCAGUGAGUUCCAGGAUAAGACUAUCUUACAGAUAUCUUUAAGAUGACAACAAAAGGAAUUUAUGACAUUCUCCACUAUUCUCUAUAUGGUGCCGAACUUCUGGGCACUCUCAGCUGCUUUACAACUUCUGUGUUAGAACAGAACAGAACUGUUCUGUUGGAAGGAACUUUCAUAGAUCAUCUGGUACAGCUGCCUGCACACUUCAGUGCUAACCAAAAGUUAAAGCGUAUUAAUGAGAACAUUGUCCAAAUAUAAUCUUUUUUCCUGAAUCUAGAUAAAAGUAAACUGUGGAGUGAUUAAACUUAUGGAUCAUCUGGAGACAGACAGAUACGUUCAGGAAUUCAAUUGAAGGUUUUUCAGUAAGUGUCAAGACUAUGGACUGAAAAAAUGAUACUUAAAAAAACACCCAAAAAUCCAGCCCAAGCCCACAAAGGAUCAGGUUUCCUGAAGGUUUUGCUAAGGUUGAAAGCUCUCAAAGUGACUUGUGGAAAUUUGUUUUCAAAGACACAGUGAUUCAGCCAUGAAAAUUUUCUGUUGCCAUCACAUGAGCUUUAAACUUUGCUAGAAGUUGCUUUAAACUCUUUGCUUUAAACUACCUAGAAAGACAAAUAGAAAUAAAAAAUAACAAUAAAAAAAAAUAGAGAGAGAUUUCUUAAGAAAUGCCACUGUUAAGUCACAGUUUACAAGGUGAUGUACAGCAUUAUAAAAUGGGGAGAUUGUUUAUUUUGGUAAUUUUCAUCUAAUAAGCCUUAAUAUACAUACAAAUCUGAUUUCUACAAAGAAACCAUACAGAAGACUGCAUCUUCAGUUAGCAUUGCUUUAUAUUUAUGAUUCCUGCAUUUUGAACAACUUCAUAGCAUCACAGUUUUCUUCCUUUUCUCAAGUGUGCAUGAACUUAUUGCUCCUGUGGCCUUUAAGGACAGAAAUGUAUAUGGGUGAAGUGAGUUAGAGAAAUCAGACCUCGGGCCAAGGGAAGUAUUUCCUAUUUGAAUCAUGAACAAUAUAAUUUUAAGCAUUAUCACAAAAUAGUGUCAGUUCUGGCUAUAAACACCAUCUGUCAUUUCAGUGUCUGAACUACUGUGCUGGCACAUGGUCAUACCAAAAUUGUGUUGUCCUUUUUUGAGGACUAGACUGUGAUCACCAGUCCAUCUUAUUUCUAAGACAGCAUGCCUUUUUUAUGGUGACAAAUGCCUAGCUCACUGAGCAAUUCCUAGAGGCAAAAGACACUCAGCUCAUACUCACUAGUAUAAUUUUCCACUUGAAAAGAACUGAUGAUUUGGUCCUUGCACCUGUCGGGCCUUGGCUUCUCACUAGUUAUUCCUCUCUUCCAUGCCACUGCCAAGUUGGUUGCACUUUGUCACCCAUCACAAGGUGUCCAAACUGUUGCAUCCUGCCAAGUGGUUACUCUACUUCUCACUUCUUACACUUCUACAUCUUCCAUAAAAGGCUUUAUGCAGUUUAUAUUUUAUUUUAAUCAAUUUUAUUUUAAUUAAGACUUCUGCUAUGGUUAUCAUUAUAGCAGAUGGCUAUCUCCAGAUUUGGGAGUUUGUGUCAGGUGAAUGUUUGGCUUUCUGUAACAGUGAAGUUACUCUGCAAUCUGUAUAGGCAUCCACCCUUCCCCUGCAUCAGGGGGUUACAAAUCCCAACAGCUUCUCAAGGUUUCUUCCGGGCUCAUACUUUGCAUAGUCAUUUCAUCCUUCACCGUUCACACAGCUGAAGAAAGCAACAGUCAUCAUCAUCAUUAUUCUUUUCUAUUUCUUCAUGUGUGGCGUUAGCUAUCACGGUACCUCAGUAGCCUCACAAGACACUUUUUCCUCCCUGUGAUAUCCAGCUUAGACCUCUUCUGCUUUGCAAGGACUUCACCGGGUAGGUACUGAAUGCUGCUACCUCUGUCGGGGAAGAAGACGUUCUUUGGCCUCCAUACUCUUUGGGGGGUAGGAGCAGGGAAUUAAAUACACCAGGUGAGCAUCAUUUCCCCCCCUCCCCAAAAUACAAGAGCUCUGCUCAUCUUCCAGGUCACUGGGGGAAAGGGAAAUGAAAAGAGAGUCCUUUUCUAAGGAAUUAAGCAAAGCUCCAGAAAGGAAGGUAGCUAUUUCAAAAUGAGAUUGAGGGUAAAUCAGUGUGAUUUGUGAGGUAAAUUAACUUUUAUUAUGGGUUAUUAAUGUGUGUUAAUAAGUGUUAGGCCAUUACCCACCCUGCCACCCUGAGAACAACAAAUGUGUAAAAGAAAAUCUAGGAAAAAAAGACCGAAAGGCUUUCCAGAUCCAUGAGCAUAUUAAUAUUUUGUUUUGAGGAUAUGCAAAUAUCAGAUAAGAUGAACACUGUAAAAAGAUUAAAUAGGCAGUGGAAAGAAGGAUGGCAAGCCUAUCACUAAGCUAAGUUAGGUUCUCUUAGAAUGACAUGGGAGACAGAGGACUCCAUGUGGAUUUCAUUAUUCUGGGAGAUUUUCUGAGAACCUUCAAAAUACUGACACAACUAAGAACAGCAUCUAAGUUUACCGAAACAAAAACUGAAACAAGCAGGAAUUUCUAAUUCAGGACAUAAACUAACCACUAAAUCACUGCAACUGCGAAAUAUCUGUUUAGUGAGUAAACUCCAAAUUUUUCUUCAGACAUUUUUGCACAAAUGUUCAUGGAUUUGAGCCUCCAUUACCACUGUGCAGAGUGCCACAGCCAGCUCUUAUGCUUGUGAAUCUUUCUGCACCUCACUCUACCUAUGUCCGCCCUUGCUAAUGUUUGCCUGGCCGUACUGCCCAAGGCCAAAGGUAUAAUUUUAAUGGAUGCAUUUCCUAAGCCUCACUUCUCCCUUCAGAAGUACAUACAGGCAGUACAUUUACUGAAAAAAAUCUAGGGAAAACUCAUUUAGAAAAAAAGAAGCCUGAUUUAUUGAUAAAACCAUCUUCAGAUAGACUUCAAAGUAUAUGAAAGCAGGGACCUGCUUUCAGUCUAUGUAUAUUCAACUGUAGAAGCCAUAAAAUGGCAAAAAGAUCAACAAAUCGCCCAUGCCAGAAACUAAAUACUAAAUACUAAGAAGACUAACUUCCAAAUACAUCCAGCUACUAUUAACUUUACUGCAGCAGGACCCAGAAGACCUCACCAUAAAUGGCCUUCAGUUUGUUUGGUACUGUAUGAACACAAAGAAAAAAGGGUUUCCUGGUCCAUGUGAAUGCAAGUAAACAUUGGUGUUGGGAGAUGGGCCUAAAUUUGCUUGAAUUAGUGAGGAAUAGACAGAAGAGCCUGGCACCUUCUGAGUAGGAUAAAGGGAUAUUCCACACCUGGCAGGAGCAGAAUACCCUGUGUAGGACCUUAAAAAAGCAAUGAGCCUUAUGCUUUGUGGUAAGGCAGCAUCUGCUCUGUGAGCUGCUACAGUGCAUUUCAGAGAAGCCAACCUGCUACUUGAAGACAUGGCUGGCACCAGGUUCGGCCUUGUUGCUUCUCAGGGAACCAGCCAUGCUCCUGGCUCCCACCCUGAGCUAGGCAGUGAGCAACAGAGAUAGGGCCCCACAGCAGCCAGGGAGUUGGGUGGUGCAGCCUGCAUUGAGCACGUGGAGGGAUUUAUUUUCCACAUGGUGAUUUUCCAGCCUUGCUCCAUAAUGGCAUUUGUGGUUUUACUUUGUGUAGUACCUUGGAUCAGUGGGAUUGAAGCCAGGCUACACCCGCUUUUGUGGCUGCAAAAUGUAAAGGUGUUUUUGCAGUCAAGGAUGUGUUUAUUAUCAACUUACAAAAUCCUUAUCAGGACUAGCCCAGAAGGCUGCACAGCUUUGCAGAACCUGCUUCUUACAACAGCCCCUGUUGCAAAUCCUUUGAAAGCAGCAACUAAAGAGAUUCCCUUUGCAGAGAGGGUGAGGAUUGUUGUUAAAGUUUUAUUAUGCUUUACUCCGAUAAACCCUGCUAGGUGAUAGCAGUA